CUGACUCCACGGGCCAUGGCGAAGGAAGAGAAGGUCCCCCUUUUCUGGAUCGAUGAUGAUCAAUGCCAGCGUAUGAGGCAUCGAUGACGAAUAAUGUGUGUCUGGAACUCUGAGGUCCACUCGCAAGGAAACGGGGCCUUUCUCUUCCUGCCUUUCCAUCCUCGAGCCCAACGGGGCAGCGCCGACCGCCCGAGGAGCCCAGUCGAUGGCGUCUCACUGUGGGUGUCACCUUGUCUCUUGGGUCUCCCUUAUAGGGUGGAAGCCGAAGGCCAGGCCAGGCUGCGUGGGGCCGAGACCCCUCCUCUGGCGGUGGUGGCAGGAGAGAUCCCAAGUUUUGUCCUUGGGCCAGGUGUUUGGAUUUCAUUGCCUUAGUCCUAAAUGGAGUCCCAACAUGAAGGACAUCCCUGCGACUGGAGAGCCCUGCCCCUCCGGGCUCACUAGUGGAGGCCCGAGAACAUGGAUAUUCAUGAGGGUCCCUCCGUGUGGAGUGUGUACCCCUCAGAGCAAUUGCACUGGAGAUGCUUUAGCAUCUUCCGUACGGACCCGAGCUCUGGGAUUGCCUCUGAACAUACGUGUUAGGACAUGGGAGAGUCACAGGACAUGCUCCCCGCUCUUUCGGCUUCUGCUGAGCUCAAGAUUGUCAGGCCGCCUCCGCGCCAGCAAAGAAGCGAAGGUGACCGUGGGGCAGGUUGUUGUUGGGUCGGGUGGUCUGUUUGCGGGUACUCAGGGUACUAUUAGAAAGCGUGGAAUGAAUCUGAAAGGUACUCGUCAUUCCACGCGAGAGGGGCUGCGCCUCACUGUCUGCUGAGGGAUGAUGGGCAGGACUGAGGUGGGAGAGUGGAAGAGAGAGCCCCUCGGUGGGAAAGGACGCUACAGACUGAGCUUAGGGAUUACGGAAAUGAACGAGGCGCAGAGACUCGGUCAUGGACCAGUGAUGAGGGUCGUGACGGGAGGAGUCCUGAACGAUGACAACAUCUGAAACUCUGAGGUCCAACCCAGCGCCCGAGUCGCCUCUUGCCUUGGGUGUCACUGUGCCUGUAGAGCGAUGUCAGGAAUACGGAGACAUCACCUCCUUGUGUUAUUUCACGGACUUAGAUUUGCUGCUCUGGCUAGAGCUGUGUUAGAGCCAUCAAGCCAGCAUAAGCUAACAUGUAAGGAAACACAGGGUGAUGCAGUGUCCAAGUAGGAACAUAUCUCGUGAGGGAAAGAGACUGUCCGUAAACCCUGAAAGCAGGGAUGCUCAUUAAGUAAAUGGGGCAGGGCCACCUCUCUGACCGAGGUUAGAUCGAAAAGCAGAAGUAAGGGUCGCUUUAACUGUUCUGCCUCAGACGAAUGGUUGAGUUUCUUAACAAGAAAAAUAUCUUGAGAAAGAAAAAAAAUAAAUGUCUACAUACUGAGUA
rnacentral:lncRNA from 1 species